rnacentral:rRNA from 1 species
GAGUUUGAUCCUGGCUCAGAAUGAACGUUGGCGGCGUGGAUUAGGCAUGCAAGUCGUACGCACAGCAAUGUGAGUGGCGCAAGGGUGAGUAAUGCGAAGGUAACCAACCCUGAAGUUGGGCAUAGCCGCGGGAAACUGCGGGUAAUUCCCAGCGACGUUGCGAGAUGGCAUCAUCUUGCAACCAAAGGUGUGAUUCCGCUUUAGGACGGGCCUUCGUGGUAUUAGGUAGUUGGUGAGGUAGCGGCUCACCAAGCCUACGAUGCCUACCGGGUGUGAGAGCAUGACCCGGCACACUGGAACUGAGACACUGUCCAGACACCUACGGGUGGCUGCAGUCGAGAAUCUUCGGCAAUGGGCGAAAGCCUGACCGAGCGACGCCGCGUGAGGGAUUGAAGGCCUUCGGGUUGUAAACCUCUUUCGUAGAGGAGGAAGGGGCUGUGAAGAACAGUCCUUGACCUAUUCUAGGAAGAAGCUUGGGCUAAGUUCGUGCCAGCAGCCGCGGUAAGACGAACCAAGCGAACGUUAUUCGGAAUUACUGGGCUUAAAGCGCGUGUAGGCGGACUACCACGUUGGUUGUUGAAAUCCCCCGGCUUAACCGGGGAACUGGCACCAAUACGAGUAGUCUGGAGGUGGGUAGGGGAGACUGAAACUUCCGGUGGAGCGGUGAAAUGCGUUGAGAUCGGAAGGAACGCCCGCGGCGAAAGCGAGUCUCUGGACCCAUACUGACGCUGAGACGCGAAAGCCAGGGGAGCAAACGGGAUUAGAUACCCCGGUAGUCCUGGCUGUAAACAUUGGGCACUGGGUAGUGGAACCGCCGAUGGUUUCACUGCCGCAGGGAAACCGUGAAGUGCCCCGCCUGGGGAGUAUGGUCGCAAGGCUGAAACUCAAAGGAAUUGACGGGGGCUCACACAAGCAGUGGAGUAUGUGGCUUAAUUCGAGGCUACGCGAAAAACCUUACCUAGGCUUGACAUGCAAGGAUUAGUCGGCGGAAACGUCGAUGACGCCGCAAGGUGGAACUUGCACAGGUGCUGCAUGGCUGUCGUCAGCUCGUGCCGUGAGGUGUUGGGUUAAGUCCCGCAACGAGCGCAACCCAA